GAUGAACGCUGGCGGCGUGCCUAACACAUGCAAGUCGAACGAGAACCCAUUCUUCGGAUUGGGGGACAGUGGCGAACGGGUGAGUAACACGUUGGUGACCUGCCCCGAAGUGAGGGACAAUCCUGCGAAAGCGGGGCUAAUACCGCAUGUGCUCCAGGGGGUUAGAGGCCCCUGGAGUAAAGCUCCGGCGCUUCGGGAGGGCCUGCGGCCUAUCAGCUAGUUGGUGGGGUAACGGCUCACCAAGGCUAAGACGGGUAGGGGGCGUGAGAGCGUGGCCCCCCACAAUGGAACUGAGACACGGUCCAUACUCCUACGGGAGGCAGCAGUGAGGAAUAUUGCGCAAUGGGGGAAACCCUGACGCAGCAACGCCGCGUGGGUGAUGAAGGCCUUCGGGUCGUAAAACCCUUUUCUGGGGGAAGAGAAAGGACGGUACCUCAGGAAUAAGUCCCGGCUAACUACGUG
rnacentral:rRNA from 1 species